rnacentral:rRNA from 1 species
UACCAGCACCCCGAGUGGUCGGGACGAUUAUUGGGCCUAAAGCAUCCGUAGCCGGUCAUGCAAGUCCUCCGUUAAAUCCACCUGCUUAACAGAUGGGCUGCGGAGGAUACUACAAGGCUAGGAGGCGGAAGAGGCAAGCGGUACUCAGUGGGUAGGGGUAAAAUCCUCUGAUCCAUUGAAGACCACCAGUGGCGAAGGCGGCUUGCCAAUACGCGCUCGACGUGAGGGAUGAAAGCUGGGGGAGCAAACCGG